UUUUUUUGUGAAAAAGAGGCAAUAGACCUACACAAGCUGACACUUGGAUCUUUCCAGACAGCCCGGAAAGGGGCCUUCAAGGACGUCAAACAGGGCGCCGACGUCCUACGCGUGCCUACGUUCGCCUUUACGUUGAGCUUACGCCGGAAGUGGGCGUGUAUUGGCGUCUCCGGGCGCCGGGGAGAGGCUGGCCUGACGGAGUUUAAGCCUUUUGCGUGGCUCCUAGCAGUCGUAUGUUUGCAGAAAUGAUUACGUGAGCACAGAGGGCAGAUUACAAUGAGGAAAGCAUAUUAUCCAGUUUGUGUCUUUCAAAAGUUCUUUUUCUUCUAUGAGUCACGACAUAACCACGUUCUUGCUGGUAGAAGACACUGGCAGUUUAACUCCAGCAGGAAAAGUUUUUCCAAGCCAGGAGGAAACCUGGAUCCACCUUCUGUGUGAGGCUGUGGUUAGGAAGUCCAUAUGAGUCUCAGUCGACUCCUUUUGAUUUGCCCUUUGUCUUGGUAAUUCGAUCACUUGGAGCUGUGCACAUCUCUUCCUGGCAAACUUAGUAACAAAGGAAGAGCAUACCUGUGUGAGACGGUUUUCUUCAUAUACUUCAACCAAAUGCAUAUGGCAAUAGAGUCAAUGCAGAGGCAGAUGAGUGUCCAGUUGUUUUCGACCGAGCUAGACCUUAAGGAUGUCACAAAAAGAUGGCAGCCGCUUAUACAUUUGCAAAUGUCACCCAGGAAACUGCCUUGGAGCUGAGGUGUGUGAAACAAAGGCAAGUCCUUGAGCAGAUCCUCCAAGGAGCUUCCGGGGAGCUUCCGGGAGCUAAGGUCAAAACGUGGAUCCACAGUUCUUUGAGGUAAGAUAAGAUUGGUUCUGGUCCCUCCGGUACCAGUAACCUGCACCAGGAAAAUGGACUUCUGUCUUCAAGUCUGUAGCUGCGUUGGGGAUGGUAACAAGAUUCCAGAGUUCUGAAAAACUUCAUCGUGACAAUUCUUGCCAGCUUGUCCACUGCUUUUAUGAAGGGAUGAAGGUUUGGAGUUGUCUACUCUGCUGUUUUCAGAGACGUCUGUCCUGUGGAGAGAAUGGGUGACACGGGUGUGGUAUUCCUGAUUCCAACAAAAGGACAGCAUCCGGUCCAGAUCCCUUCCGACUUAUCUGGGAGUCUUGAGAGUUGGAUGCCUGAGGAGAUUUGUGGCCGAGCCCUGAAAUCAUCGGCCUGCCCCUUCUGUGGGGUCUACUCUGAGGAACCCUAUUCCAUAACGUACGCACCUUCUGUCCAAGGUGCCUGGGCUCCUCAGUGAUGCAGACUGACGAGGCUUUUCAUCCACUCCGGGUGCUUUCAGUUCUCCCAGAAUAAGUAAGGCCAGGAAAACCUGGUAGCAGGACAUUUGGCGGACCUUUUCAGAGAGUUGGACUCUGGAGUCGAGCCCUGAGCAUGGGCCUUAGGUCGGCAGGUUUCUGUGUGACCGUGACAGAAGACCGGAAAAGACUCAUGUCUUCCUUUUACCUGCACUGUUUUGAAGACCUCUGCUUGACAUCUUGCCAACAACGUAUGCUUCCCCUGCCUUCAGCAUUUGGCGAGAAAGCACCAGACGGGCUAUUCAUUUCUCGCCAGCAUCUGGACAUUCCUCAGAUACGCAAGAUCCGGAUCAACACGGCCCUUGGGAGGGUGGCUGAGACGAAGGUGCUCACGCCUGCGCUAAGCCCGUGCUGCCGUAGGCUCGGAUUUUAUGUGAAUGUGAACUUGGGUUCACUAACCACCACCGACUGUCUCACAUCCUCUGAGACAUGUGAGGUGUCAGAAGGGUAUGUCUGCUCGAGUCUGGUAGAGACUCCUGAGACAUUCCUCUCCGCCGCUGGCGUCCUGGCUUCUCCACUUCACUUCUGGCCGCAACGAUUAGAAGAUGGAAAUGGGAGGGAGUUAGAAAUGGGAUAUAGGUGUUUGCUUGGCAUCUGCCCAUUGUCGAGGAACAUUCCCUGUGUCUUCAGAGCUCAGAUUUAGUGUUGGGAGCCUCACAGGAGGAUGUGAAGUUGUGUUAUCCGAACUCAGGACUGUUUUCCACAUGCAAAGUUACAGAAGGUGAGCAUUUUCCUGGCUUGACCUAAAAGUCAACUCAGUUUUUGAUGCCUCUGAUGGUUUGCAUCUCUUCACAUUUAAAAAAAUGUGUCUACCUCAGGGCCUUUGCAUCAACCCUCUAUUCUAGGAUUCUAGGGGUAAGAAUGUGAAGAUCUGUCCCAAGGGAGCCACAGAUAUUCCACUUUGGCCACAGUCACCCCAAGAAGACAUGUAAACUCUGUCCAAAGUAAAGAGCAAAUGGAAGAAAACUGUUGACUCCUAUAGGCCCAAGAUCUUUUGUCAUUACAGGUGUUUAUAAAGUUGAGAAUACUGGGGGUUUUUUUCUCCUGAUAAGGAAGGCUUGUGAUAAAAAUUGCUAAAAGAAGUCAUUAACUUAAUUUUUUAAUGUUUAUUUUUUUAUAUAUAGAGAGAGAGCAGGG